rnacentral:misc_RNA from 1 species
UCGGUGCAUUACACCCUUCCCCUUGCAGCGUCUCCAUUGCACGGGCGUACACGCAAUCGCACGAGGUUCGCUGUACCCAAACGUACACGAGUGGCGCUUGUUGGAGGAGGCCCCCUCCGCACAGUAUCGCAUGUUCUGUUCUUCCUGCUGUGCAGUGGUGCCAUGAGAAGCUCACGGGCAACGUGCUUUUUCUUUGGUGGAACGUCCGACCGUCUUCGCAGUGCACAGAGCAUCAGCCGCCGUUGCAUGGGUAGCGCGCUGCAAUUUCGGCGGCUCCUUCUGCCGUCUUCACAGACAAAGGUGUUUGUGCUCCAGCGCAGUGGCAUGCAAAAGAAAGAUGUCGUCACCAUGGCACUGCGCACCCCUAGGCGGUGGCUGUCGUCUCUGCCACCACCUGCCGCAUCGCCGUCACCACCGGCCCUCGCAGGUCACUGGAGUACUGACAGCGAGAGCGAUUCAGGCCGAAUGCCUGCCACCUCGCACAGUGGUGUACAUAGUAUCGAUGCACACGUGGUAACACAGUUCGUCGCACCAGUGGAGUCAAGCUUGUGGAGAGCGCAGGGCCGUUUCAGUCACCGACGGCGACGACGCCAUGGUGCCGCGACGUCGGGAAAGUCGAGCACCGAGUGUAUUGAGGCCGCCACGUCACGCAGCGCAUCCGGCGCCGAUGCUGCACUAGCUGCGAAUGACCCCGCUCGUAUGCGUCCAGAGCCGCCAUGCGCCUCACCGCUGCCACACGUCAGUGCCAGUGAUGCGCACUCUGCCAUGUCGCCAGUGCAGCAGCGACUGUGCCAGCUCAUUGGCACCGGGGCGUGGCGCGAAGCGUUGGAAGUGCUCCGCUGCUACGAGCAAGAAGACCCCACCGCCACCCAACAUGCGCAAGCGUCACGGCAAGCUUCGUCCGAAAGUGGCUUGCAUAUCCGCAGAGCCAGUGCGCUGGCAGCCGCUGAGGACUCUGAUGAUUGCGCGGUGAUUCCUUUCAUGUUUGUAUCGCUGCAGGAGGUGUCUGUUUGGCUGCUGUUGUGGUGCGGCCACGGCGCGGCUGCGUGGCAUGUGUGGCGGCGAACCAUGGAGGCUGUCUCGUCGCCGUCAUCGCCGCGGUUGGCGCUGCUGCUCGCCCUUUUUACACACGUUGUGGAGCGCGAUACGAUGCGCACGCGCGACAUGCUACUUCUUUUUGAGAUGAUGAACAGCAGUGCCACCACUCCCCCAAGCGAGGUCGAAAUUGGACAGAUGUGCAAGGAGAGCCCUGCGCCGCCUUUGCGCGUAUGGCGACAUCUUUUCUGGCAAUGGUUGUGGUGCUGCAACGAGUGCACCGGCCCGCGCAAGAGUCCGUCACAGGCCCACCGUCGCUGUCUUGUUUCGUUCCUGGAAGGGGCGGUUGAGGAGCUGACGAAGUUCGCGUUCUGGAGUUCUGCGACUCGAGCGGGACAGCAUAUGGGUGCAAUGACAGAGUCAGUGGCGCUGCUUCUGCUAGCGCUCCGUGAUGUGCACAGCACAUCCGACGAGUGGCAGCGUCUGUUGAAGGAGGAGCUCACCACGGUGUGCGAUGGUAAGCAAAAGAAAAUGAGCAGCAACAGUCGUCGCAGCGCAUCGGCGGCGUGGUGGGAAGGGAGUCAGGAGCAUCCACCGCUGCUAUCGCCUUCGGCGUGCGCGUCGAUGAGCGAGGCCGUCAAAUCCAUUCUCUUGGGCUCUUCCUCGACGGCGGAUGACGUCCGAAGAGAUGAUGGUGAAAGAGCAGAUGAACAAGGUCAUAUGCGCUUGCGGACGAUAUUCCGCAAUGCAGCGCGUAACUUACAACGUCUUCGCGGCCACUCCAGCUCCGCUGUGCCAGAGGACGGUGGAGGCGCAUUAGAAGCGUUCCGCAUGUGGCAUGAGCGGAUUGUGGAGAAUGAGGGCCUUGGUGGCAUCUGGGAAGCUCUGCGGCUGGCUAUGCGUUCGCCACCCGCACAGUCACGCCCUUUCCGCCUGGACCAGCCAACGACACUGGACGACGCAGCUGGCGUUUCACUGAAGCGGCUGCUGCAGCGCAUCGACGAUGCCACGGCGCAAGGCGACUGGACCACAGCAUUGCGGCUCUGCUUGAACCACAGCUUUCCUGAAGGUCUUCCUUGCAGGGAGGGCACGGAUAACUCAAGCGUAGACACACAGGACUUGGUGCUCAAAGGGGUGAAGGGCCCUUCUUGCUGUCGCCCGUCAACGUCCACACCCCUGCCGGUGGAUCAAUUCUCGUUUCUUCACCGACUUGGCAAGGGCCUCGUCGCGUGCGAGGUGGCCCGGCCAUCUGGCGCAUCGUGGCAGGGUGCCUUGGCUCUGUGGAACUUUGCCCGACAGUAUUCGCAUCAUCGCGUGGCGUGUACAUCUCCAUCCGACAUCGCUGUCGUUUCAGGGGCGAGGUCCGAAUUGUUGCACAUCGGCCCCCGGCCGCCAGGGCCUGCACCGCCGUUGCUGCCGCUGAGCCGCGCACUUGGACGCAUUUUCUUCCUCCUCGCGUCGGCCGGGCGUUGGGCGGAGGCGCUGGCGUGCUUCCACGAGGCUCCGGACGCCUACCUCGAUGGCUUCGUGGUGUCGCAGGUCGCGUACGCCCUGCGUGACUGUCCAUCACAAAGCAGGGCCGUUCUGGACUUGUGGGCCGCGUGGCGGUGCCGCGUAGGCGACGCUGUGGAUCCGACAGAGAUGAUGACGUACAAGCUGUUGAACGCGAUGCUGCAUACGUCAGUCAAGGCAACUUCCCCAGUGGCCACCUUGUCUUCCACUUCUUAUCAGUCACCAGCCAUGGUCGCGGCAAAGGUGGCCACUGCGCUGCUCAUAGCCGCAGCAGACACGUCUCCUGCCGCGCCUUCCACGCUGGCGACGGAUGCGCGACACGCAGCUGUGACCCCUGGUACAGCGGUACCACUAGAUUGGUCGCGGAGGCGCUGCACUAUUCGCGGCGUCAUAGCGGAUCGCUGGGUGGGCAGCUGGGCUGACGCACUUCGUGUGGUACUUGCAAGCGGUGAUGUUUCUCUGCUAGUUCAAACUGUUCUACGGUGUGCGCCGGCGGUGCAUUCACCAAAGUUGUACUCGGACGUGAGGCGAAUACUCCAGGAGAGGGGAGUCGUUCUGUCGCCCGCUGAGCGGGCAACCCUGCUGGCGCUGUGGGGCGAAGGGCGAAGGUCGAGGCUCGGCUGCGACAGUGGCGUGAGUGCUGGAAAGGACACCUCUCCAGCUGGGGAGGUUUUGCCGUCGAACGGUGAGGGCGGCGGUGCCCGCCAGCAUGUCCUCGACACUGAAGCCUUCCUCGACGAGCUGCUAGGGCUCAACUAAGCUUCUCGUAAGGAGGCGAAAGGCUG